CCCUAGCCCCGAUAGGAGCGGUAUCUCCCGGGGUUCAAAAACAAGGGCUUUGCCUGUAGUUUUUGUCCAUCGGGAAUAUAGCGGAUAGCGGGAAAAAGC
rnacentral:sRNA from 1 species